UACGUAGGGGGCAAGCGUUGUCCGGAUUUAUUGGGCGUAAAGAGCGUGUAGGCGGUCAGGUAGGUCCGUUGUGAAAACUCGAGGCUCAACCUCGAGACGCCGAUGGAAACCAUCUGACUAGAGUCCGGAAGAGGAGAGUGGAAUUCCUGGUGUAGCGGUGAAAUGCGCAGAUAUCAGGAAGAACACCCGUGGCUAAGGCGGCUCUCUGGACCGAUACUGACGCUGAGGCGCGAAAGCGUGGGGAGCAAACAGG
rnacentral:rRNA from 1 species